UUUUUUUUUUUUUUUUUGGUAAAGACGGGAAUCUCCCUAUGUUUCCAGGCUGGUCUCGAACUCCACGGCAUAAGUGAUCCGCCCGCCUGCGCCUACCAGAGUGCUGGGAUCACAGGCCUGAGCCCACGCCCAGCCCCUUAUGGGAAUUUCAUUUCAGACUGACCAGACUUCAAGAGUGUCACUCUUAGGUCAUCUCGUCUUAAGGAUGAGAAUACACAGGUCCCCAGGGGGACGAAACAAUCAGGCAAAUCCAAACUGAGAGACCUGCAAGACAACUGCCCAGUCUUCAAAAAUGUCAGUUUCAUGAAAGAUUAGGAAAAAGGCUAGUGAACUGCUCUAGGUUAAAGGAAGCAAAAGAUAUGACACUAAAAGCAAUGUGUGAUCCUAAAUUAGACCCCGAAUAAAAACCAAACAAACAAAAC
rnacentral:lncRNA from 1 species